UACGUAGGGGGCAAGCGUUGUCCGGAUUUAUUGGGCGUAAAGAGCUCGUAGGCGGUUUGGUAAGUCUGGUGUGAAAUCUCCACGCUCAACGUGGAGGGGCCACCCGAUACUGCCAUGACUGGAGUCCGGUAGAGGAGUGUGGAAUUCCCGGUGUAGCGGUGAAAUGCGCAGAUAUCGGGAGGAACACCCGUGGCGAAGGCAAUCCCCUGGGCCUGCACUGACGCUCAUGCACGAAAGCGUGGGGAGCAAACAGG
rnacentral:rRNA from 1 species